rnacentral:rRNA from 1 species
AAUUUUGGACAAUGGGCGCAAGCCUGAUCCAGCCAUCCCGCGUGUGCGAUGAAGGCCUUCGGGUUUUAAAGCACUUUUUGCAGGGAAGAAACGGCCCAGGAUAAUACCUUGGGCUAAUGACGGUACCUGCAGAAUAAUCCCCGGCUAACUACGUGCCAGCAGCCGCGGUAAUACGUAGGGUGCAAGCGUUAAUCGGAAUUACUGGGCGUAAAGCGUGCGCAGGCGGUUCGGAAAGAAAGGUGUGAAAUCCCAGGGCUUAACCUUGGAACAGCACUUUUAACUGCCGGGCUAGAGUACGUCAGAGGGGGGUAGAAUUCCACGUGUAGCAGUGAAGUGCGUAGAUAUGUGGAGGAAUACCGAUGGCGAAGGCAGCCCCCUGGGAUGAUACUGACGCUCAUGCACGAAAGCGUGGGGAGCAAACAGG